rnacentral:rRNA from 1 species
GCCUACUAGCAUACCAUCCUGAAUACGUCCGAUCUCAUUCCAUCUCUGAAGCUAAGCAGGUUUUGGCCCAGUUACUACUUGGAUGAGAGAGUGCGCCUGGGAAUACCGGGUGUUGUCGGCU